CUCCAAACUUCCUGUAUGAAUGUAUAAUCACAUAGUGAGUGAAUGCUAGCUUCAACCUUGUUCCCAAAAUCUAUAAAACAAAUUAUUUAGUCUGUUAGACGUGAAGACACUUCUCGAUCCUCAGGAUUCAUGGCCCUUUUCACUAAACUGUACCUUUAGCAGUUCAGAUACAGCUUGAGAAAGUAUUGUAUUCAUUAGUCAUGUAGAUAUGUAUUUACUUUUAUUUCCCUUAAAAUCUGCAUGGAGGGGGCGGAGCUAACGGCCGAACUGACAAGACGCAUGGC